UACGGGGGGGGUAAGCGUUGUUCGGAAUUACUGGGCGUAAAGGGCGCGUAGGCGGGCCGGCAAGUCAGGGGUGAAAUCUUCCAGCUCAACUGGAAAAGGGCCUUUGAUACUGUCGGCCUCGAGGGAGGUAGGGCAUGCGGAACUUCCGGUGGAGCGGUGAAAUGCGUAGAUAUCGGAAGGAACGCCGGUGGCGAAAGCGGCGUGCUGGACCUCUUCUGACGCUGAGGCGCGAAAGCUAGGGGAGCAAACGGG
rnacentral:rRNA from 1 species